UACGUAGGGGCCAAGCGUUGUCCGGAUUUAUUGGGCGUAAAGAGCUCGUAGGCGGUGUGUCGCGUCGGCCGUGAAAACCUGCAGCUUAACUGUGGGCUUGCGGUCGAUACGGGCAUCACUGGAGUUCGGCAGGGGAGACUGGAAUUCCUGGUGUAGCGGUGAAAUGCGCAGAUAUCAGGAGGAACACCGGUGGCGAAGGCGGGUCUCUGGGCCGAUACUGACGCUGAUGCGCGAAAGCCAGGGGAGCGAACGGG
rnacentral:rRNA from 1 species